AUAACUGCACUAUGUAAUUUUACCAGAUCGUGUAGCGGCUCUGUAGUUCGAUGGAUUGAGACAUAAGAAACUACAAAUUUGACUUGCAUCUGAUGUCGCAA